rnacentral:rRNA from 1 species
UACGUAGGGUCCGAGCGUUGUCCGGAAUUACUGGGCGUAAAGGGCUCGUAGGUGGCCAACUAAGUCAUACGUGAAAUCCCUCGGCUUAACCGGGGAACUGCGUCUGAUACUGGAUGGCUUGAGUUUGGGAGAGGGAUGCGGAAUUCCAGGUGUAGCGGUGGAAUGCGUAGAGAUCGGGAGGAACACCAGUGGCGAAGGCGGCUCACUGGGCCGGACCUGACGCUGAGGCGCGAAAGCGUGGGGAGCGAUCCGG